CCUACGGGAGGCAGCAGUGGGGAAUCUUGCGCAAUGGGCGGAAGCCUGACGCAGCAACGCCGCGUGGGGGACGAAGGCUCUCGGGUUGUAAACCCCUUUCAGUGGGAACGAUGAUGACGGUACCCACAGAAGAAGCACCGGCUAACUACGUGCCAGCAGCCGCGGCAAUACGUAGGGUGCGAGCGUUGUCCGGAUUUAUUGGGCGUAAAGAGCUCGUAGGCGGUUCAGUAAGUCGGGUGUGAAAACUCUAGGCUCAACCUGGAGACUGCAUCUGAUACUGCUGUGACUAGAGUCUGGUAGGGGAUCACGGAAUUCCUGGUGUAGCGGUGAAAUGCGCAGAUAUCAGGAGGAACACCGGUGGCGAAGGCGGUGAUCUGGGCCAGUACUGACGCUGAGGAGCGAAAGCGUGGGGAGCAAACAGGAUUAGAUACCCUGGUAGUCCACGCCGUAAACGUUGGGCACUAGGUGUGGGUCCUUAUCAACGGGAUCCGUGCCGCNGCUACGCAGUAGUGCCCGCCGUCGGGAGGUACGGUCGCGAGACGUAAACGUAACGUAAGUAGUUAAGUUAGUACGGCGUUGAGACGUUGCCGACGGACGACGACGAGGGAGGAGG
rnacentral:rRNA from 1 species